rnacentral:rRNA from 1 species
UUCCCUUUGAACCUUUCGGGGGACGAUAACGGCGUCGAGCGGCGGACGGGUGAGUAAUGCCUAGGAAAUUGCCCUGAUGUGGGGGAUAACCAUUGGAAACGAUGGCUAAUACCGCAUGAUGCCUACGGGCCAAAGAGGGGGACCUUCGGGCCUCUCGCGUCAGGAUAUGCCUAGGUGGGAUUAGCUAGUUGGUGAGGUAAGGGCUCACCAAGGCGACGAUCCCUAGCUGGUCUGAGAGGAUGAUCAGCCACACUGGAACUGAGACACGGUCCAGACUCCUACGGGAGGCAGCAGUGGGGAAUAUUGCACAAUGGGCGCAAGCCUGAUGCAGCCAUGCCGCGUGUGUGAAGAAGGCCUUCGGGUUGUAAAGCACUUUCAGUCGUGAGGAAGGUGGUGUCGUUAAUAGCUGCAUUAUUUGACGUUAGCGACAGAAGAAGCACCGGCUAACUCCGUGCCAGCAGCCGCGGUAAUACGGAGGGUGCGAGCGUUAAUCGGAAUUACUGGGCGUAAAGCGCAUGCAGGUGGUUUGUUAAGUCAGAUGUGAAAGCCCGGGGCUCAACCUCGGAAUAGCAUUUGAAACUGGCAGACUAGAGUACUGUAGAGGGGGGUAGAAUUUCAGGUGUAGCGGUGAAAUGCGUAGAGAUCUGAAGGAAUACCGGUGGCGAAGGCGGCCCCCUGGACAGAUACUGACACUCAGAUUGCGAAAGCGUGGGGAGCAACAAGGAUUAAAUACCCUGGUAGUCCACGCCGUAAACGAUGUCUACUUGGAGGUUGUGGCCUUGAGCCGUGGCUUUCGGAGCUAACGCGUUAAGUAGACGCCUGGGGAGUACGGUCGCAAGAUAAAACUCAAUGAAUGACGGGGCCCGCACAAGCGGUGGAGCAUGUGUUUAAUCGAUGCAACGCGAGAACUAACUACUCUGACAUCAGAGACUUUCAGAGAUGGAUGUGCU